CGAGCACAUAAGUUGCAGCACACAAGUCGCUGAUGCCCUCCUCUGGUUCCUCUGCUCCUUGUCCAGAUCGAUCCUGCCGCCAGCGAUGGAAAGAUGCUGCUCCGCCGCUGCCUGAUCUUCCGCUCUCUCUCUCCCCCCUGGUCCAAAUCCCUAAUUUUUCCCCAAGGAUUCAACCCCAAACUUUCUAAUCCCCUCUCAGAUUUGUCGUGCAGGUUAUGUUCUUGUUGGGGCUGCUCUUCCUCUGCUGCUCCAGAUUGAACUCGCCGGCGCUGAUGACCGCGGUGCCGCUGGGUGGUGCAGGUUAACGCUCAAGUGUGCAGCCAUGGAGCAGAUCGAGCAUAUGUGCAGGUAGAGAGAUGAAGACGGUGGGGAAGACAAGCUGUUGGUUUGGCUAUUUGGAAGAAUGGAGAUGAGUGAGGUCUUGGCAAUGGCUUGCCCUGCUCUCUCCCCUCUUAAUAUCAGAAAUCCAUCUCCCCUGGCUGGUAUGGCAGCCCAUUCCCUUCUCCAUUGUUCUCACAGGUGCUAGCUUCUAAUUGGCUGAAGGUUGAAGCCCAUACAUAGACUAUACUAUUGACCAAUUGACUAUUAAUAUAUUGUGCACGUGAGAGUGGUGGUUAGUGUGUCUCAACUGUGUCCUGUUGUCCUAGUUGACUCAAAGAUAUUUUGUGUUGGUCUAAGUUUGGUGUGGCAUUGCUGUAUAGAUUAGCAUAGUAUGGUCUCCCUAUACUUUUGUCCAAAGAUUUGUAAUACACUUGUACAACUGUACUGUUUGAGGUGUGUGAAUAUAAAUAUAUAUUUGAG
rnacentral:rRNA from 1 species